rnacentral:rRNA from 1 species
CCCUUAGAUGUCCUGGGCCGCACGCGCGUUACACUGAUGCAUUCAACGAGCUUAUAACCUUGGCCGAGAGGCCUGGGCAAUCUUGUUAACGUGCAUCGUGAUAGGGAUAGAUUAUUGAAAUUAUUAAUCUUGAACGAGGAAUCCCUAGUAAACGCAGAUCAUCAAUCUGCAUUGAUUACGUCCCUGCCCUUUGUACACACCGCCCGUCGCACCUACCGAUUGGAUGGUCCGGUGAAGCCUCGGGAUUGUGGUUCUUGCCGCUUUGUUGUGGCGUGACCGCGAGAACUUGUCUAAACCUUAUCAUCUAGAGGAAGGUGAAGUCGUAACA